AUUGAACGCUGGCGGCAUGCUUUACACAUGCAAGUCGAACGGUAACAGGGAGCUUGCUCCGCUGACGAGUGGCGAACGGGUGAGUAAUGCAUCGGAACGUACCCAGUCGUGGGGGAUAACGUAGCGAAAGUUACGCUAAUACCGCAUACGUCCUGAGGGAGAAAGCGGGGGACCGUAAGGCCUCGCGCGAUUGGAGCGGCCGAUGUCGGAUUAGCUAGUUGGUAGGGUAAAGGCCUACCAAGGCGACGAUCCGUAGCGGGUCUGAGAGGAUGAUCCGCCACACUGGGACUGAGACACGGCCCAGACUCCUACGGGAGGCAGCAGUGGGGAAUUUUGGACAAUGGGCGAAAGCCUGAUCCAGCCAUGCCGCGUGAGUGAAGAAGGCCUUCGGGUUGUAAAGCUCUUUCAGGUGGAAAGAAAACGCAUAGGUUAAUACCUUGUGCGGAUGACGGUACCAUCAGAAGA
rnacentral:rRNA from 1 species